GUACACUCCUACGGGAGGCAGCAGUGGGGAAUUUUGGACAAUGGGCGGAAGCCUGAUCCAGCAAUGCCGCGUGCAGGAUGAAGGCCUUCGGGUUGUAAACUGCUUUUGUACGGAACGAAAAAGCUCCUUCUAAUACAGGGGGCCCAUGACGGUACCGUAAGAAUAAGCACCGGCUAACUACGUGCCAGCAGCCGCGGUAAUACGUAGGGUGCGAGCGUUAAUCGGAAUUACUGGGCGUAAAGCGUGCGCAGGCGGUUAUGUAAGACAGAUGUGAAAUCCCCGGGCUCAACCUGGGAACUGCAUUUGUGACUGCAUGGCUAGAGUACGGUAGAGGGGGAUGGAAUUCCGCGUGUAGCAGUGAAAUGCGUAGAUAUGCGGAGGAACACCGAUGGCGAAGGCAAUCCCCUGGACCUGUACUGACGCUCAUGCACGAAAGCGUGGGGAGCAAACAGGAUUAGAAACCCCGGUAGUCCCAUG
rnacentral:rRNA from 1 species